UAACAACCUGGAAACAGAUGCUAAUACCGGAUAACAACAGAUGAUGCCUAUCAACUGUUUAAAAGAUGGUUCUGCUAUCACUCUUGGAUGGACCUACGGUGCAUUAGCUAGUUGGUAGGGUAACGGCCUACCAAGGCGAUGAUGCAUAGCCGAGUUGAGAGACUGAUCGGCCACAUUGGGACUGAGACACGGCCCAAACUCCUACGGGAGGCAGCAGGU
rnacentral:rRNA from 1 species